CGAGCUUCCGUUGAAUGACGUGCUUGCACUGAUUUCAACAAUGAAGCGAGUGGCGAACUGGUGAGUAACACGUGGGGAAUCUGCCCAGAAGCAGGGGAUAACACUUGGAAACAGGUGCUAAUACCGUAUAACAACAAAAUCCGCAUGGAUUUUGUUUGAAAGGUGGCUUCGGCUAUCACUUCUGGAUGAUCCCGCGGCGUAUUAGUUAGUUGGUGAGGUAAAGGCCCACCAAGACGAUGAUACGUAGCCGACCUGAGAGGGUAAUCGGCCACAUUGGGACUGAGACACGGCCCAAACUCCUACGGGAGGCAGCAGUAGGGAAUCUUCCACAAUGGACGAAAGUCUGAUGGAGCAAUGCCGCGUGAGUGAAGAAGGGUUUCGGCUCGUAAAACUCUGUUGUUAAAGAAGAACACCUUUGAGAGUAACUGUUCAAGGGUUGACGGUAUUUAACCAGAAAGCCACGGCUAACUACGUGCCAGCAGCCGCGGUAAUACGUAGGUGGCAAGCGUUGUCCGGAUUUAUUGGGCGUAAAGCGAGCGCAGGCGGUUUUUUAAGUCUGAUGUGAAAGCCUUCGGCUUAACCGGAGAAGUGCAUCGGAAACUGGGAGACUUGAGUGCAGAAGAGGACAGUGGAACUCCAUGUGUAGCGGUGGAAUGCGUAGAUAUAUGGAAGAACACCAGUGGCGAAGGCGGCUGUCUAGUCUGUAACUGACGCUGAGGCUCGAAAGCAUG
rnacentral:rRNA from 2 species